rnacentral:rRNA from 1 species
CGACCGGCCACAUUGGGACUGAGAUACGGCCCAGACUCCUACGGGGGGCAGCAGUGGGGAAUAUUGCACAAUGGGCGCAAGCCUGAUGCAGCGACGCCGCGUGCGGGAUGACGGCCUUCGGGUUGUAAACCGCUUUUGACUGGGAGCAAGCCCUUCGGGGUGAGUGUACCUUUCGAAUAAGCACCGGCUAACUACGUGCCAGCAGCCGCGGUAAUACGUAGGGUGCAAGCGUUAUCCGGAAUUAUUGGGCGUAAAGGGCUCGUAGGCGGUUCGUCGCGUCCGGUGUGAAAGUCCAUCGCUUAACGGUGGAUCCGCGCCGGGUACGGGCGGGCUUGAGUGCGGUAGGGGAGACUGGAAUUCCCGGUGUAACGGUGGAAUGUGUAGAUAUCGGGAAGAACACCAAUGGCGAAGGCUGGCCUCUGGGCCGUCACUGACGCUGAGGAGCGAAAGCGUGGGGAGCGAACAGGAUUAGAUACCCUGGUAGUCCACGCCGUAAACGGUGGAUGCUGGAUGUGGGGACCAUUCCACGGUCUCCGUGUCGGAGCCAACGCGUUAAGCAUCCCGCCUGGGGAGUACGGCCGCAAGGCUAAAACUCAAAGAAAUUGACGGGGGCCCGCACAAGCGGCGGAGCAUGCGGAUUAAUUCGAUGCAACGCGAAGAACCUUACCUGGGCUUGACAUGUUCCCGACAGCCCCAGAGAUGGGGCCUCCCUUCGGGGCGGGUUCACAGGUGGUGCAUGGUCGUCGUCAGCUCGUGUCGUGAGAUGUUGGGUUAAGUCCCGCAACGAGCGCAACCCUCGCCCUGUGUUGCCAGCACGUCGUGGUGGGAACUCACGGGGGACCGCCGGGGUCAACUCGGAGGAAGGUGGGGAUGACGUCAGAUCAUCAUGCCCCUUACGUCCAGGGCUUCACGCAUGCUACAAUGGCCGGUGCAACGGGAUGCGACCUAGUGAGGGGGAGCGGAUCCCUUAAAACCGGUCUCAGUUCGGAUUGGAGUCUGCAACCCGACUCCAUGAAGGCGGAGUCGCUAGUAAUCGCGGAUCAGCAACGCCGCGGUGAAUGCGUUCCCGGGCCUUGUACACACCGCCCGUCAAGUCAUGAAAGUGGGUAGCACCCGAAGCCGGUGGCCCAACCUUUUUGGGGGGAGCCGUCUAAGGUGAGACUCGUGAUUGGGACUAAGUCGUAACAAGGUAGCCGUACCGGAAGGUGCGGCUG